CACCCUCUUGCUCAAUAUAUGCUUCUCCCUGUGCCUAUUUCUUAGAAAUAACUAUUUGAAUGAAGAAAUAUUUCAAAAGGCAAAUGCAAAGCUCUAUUCACAAGACUCCAGAGGCCAUGUCAACUUUAUGCACAGACUAGAAACAAUUUCAUCACACUGUGGGAAAUUAGAGAGCAAAUCUCAGUCAUGACUCUCUGCUGCAGGCCCUUGGAAUAGCUCCAGGCAUCAGUUCAAAUUUGAUAUGAAACACCACUACUCUGAUUUAAUUUCAUUUUACACCUUCCUCCCACUGCCUUGAGCAGUUGGAGUGCAAAGGCUAGUAAGUCAUCUUGUGUUUUGCACAAAAGAUAUGAGAACUAACAGGUGUAAGCACAUCCUGCUUGGGACCAAGAAAUUCCUUUACAGAACUCUAAAAGAUGACUCAUUCUCCAGAAGAAACCUGAGACGAGUCCAAGAACAAAAAAUACACUGGAAAUACCUACAGAAUAUCACUCACAUUUCCUCAAGUAUCGUAUUUCUCUGUGUGUUCUUAAUUUAUGAUGAUUUUGUGCUACAAUAACUGAAUCUACUGGCAUUAACUAGGGACAGCCUGAAAUGAAUUCACAAGGGCCUGCAGCAGAUUAGGCACUAUGGGAGUUUGCUGCUAGCAUUCCCUGCAAUGCCUGCUCACUUCCCAUAAGCUUACCUGAAAGGCUGAGUUCUGAACCCUAAAGAAAACUAGGCUCAAUGCCAGAUGCUUAAAGAUCUGUGCUGGCAAGGAUAUGACACUUCUUCCUGCUGCUCUUACAAGGACAUGGCUCCUGCAGACACACUGUGGACUCCAGCAGCCUGAGAUCUCACAGCUAAAGAUGCUCUGCUGUGUUUUGCGCUAUGUUCUCUAUGUUGCCUUGCUCAGGUGACGGAAUGUGCCCACUAAGCAAUUGGAUCAGUUCUCUUCAGAAUUUUUCCACAUGAUGCACAUGAGCUGGCCCAGAAACCACAUCACCAGGCAUGGAGUUAGGUGCUCAGGCCCCUUCCUGGGGCUAUCUCAUAGAGUUCAGUACCCAGAUCCCCAUCCUGGGGCUAUUUCCUAUUGACAAUAGUUAGAGCCCCCAAUGACCACCCUAGAGUGUAGCAUGGUGGGUGCAGAGAUGCUGUAAAUCACUUCAGUUAUCUCCCUAUUUCUCCCUUCAUCUGUGCCAAAGAUAUCUCAGCACAGGAGAAUUUUGGUCCUUGGCUGUGAUUUGUCAGUCACUCAAUUUUCUAAAGACUUAAUUAUUGCUUUAGAGCAAGCAUACAUUGUGGAUCUGGGGGUUUAAUUUACUUAUUUACUUUAUUAUUUUUAGAAACCUAUUAUUGCAUCCUGUAAAUAAGGUGUUUCAAGACAUUGCAUUAACAAACUAGACAUUCUAAGCCCUUUGUCCCAAUGUGCUGCUGGGACUGAGUACAUAAGGAGCAGUCAGUAAUGUCAAGGGGUUCAUGGACAGUAACAACUUUAUGCCACCUCCUAUUCCUCUCAAAAAAAUUAAGAAGUUUUUUUCCCCCUGCACAAGUCCGUGGUCCUUCCUCUCACUUACUUAAGCAGUACUGAGGAUAAAAACAUUUUCAAAGUUACUUCAAAUUCAAAUCUGCCCUUAAGCAACCUGUGGUUCAGCUUUGCUCUAAUUGAAACUAAUGAGCCAUCUGCUAUUAACUUAUAUGCAAGUAGGACAGAGCUUGCUUUCAUACAGGAUACUCAUCAUUAGCUUCACUGACAGGCACUUAACCAAAAUUACAAAACAUGCCAAAACAUUUUAUUUCUUUCCCUUGCACCAGGUCACCCUGCUGCCACAUCUCUUCUGGCUCCCAGGCUGCCCAGCACACAUUGCAGCCUGGCACCAGCAGUGCUGAGGAAGGGAUCUUUUUGGCAAUGGAAAGAUAUACAACUUUUUAUUCAAUACUAAGCAGAUAUCAAAAGGCCUUUGCAUAACUGUCUUUUAAUGAAAAUUAAAAUAAGGAUGAUUAAACUUUCAGUGAUCUGCUGAGCUCUGAAUAAGCCCCAAAUUAUCCUUUCCACAGGGGAGGAUGAUACAUACAGAAGCAGGUAGACCAAAAGAUGUGUAGACUUUGUAAUAACCUUGUCUGCUUAUUAAAGCUGCUUUUAUACAAGAGACCUAUAGGCAACAAGAAAUACAAUUUGGUCUGCUCUGAUUGCAUUUAGUGUUUCUAAGAUCACCAUGCUUUAUAAUCAAUAUUCAUGAUUCAGCUGAGGAAACCCAUCUAACACCAAACACAUUUGAUUAUAAGAACAUUUCUUUAAUGAGGUAUUUGUGUGAUUUUGCCUCAAGAAUACCUUAACAACCAGUUUGAAAGCUCAAGUCACCAAUUCCAAAUAUGAGACUCCUUAAAGAUGCACAUUUUUCUUGGCUAUUUCUUCUUCAUGUGGGUAGUCUUAGUGAUGGUUUUUUGCUUAUAGAAGUCAUAUUUAAAGUUAAAACUUGUACCAAAUGCUGCACAAACUAAAAACACAUUUUCAGCAAAUAGCAAUUACUUUUUGACUAGUCUUACUUUGUGUUUACUGAUUUAAGCUGUAUUAGCUGUAAUAUUAAAGAGAAUUAUCACCAUGGCAUUUAGAUAUCUUGUAUGUAAACAGAAAAUUAUGAUUAGCCCCUUCCACAGAAGGAUCUCUGCAGCCAGGUGUGGGGAUAUUGCUGUGCCACUGCACAAAUAGCACUGCUGCACCUCAGUCACUCUUUGUCAAAAUAACUUUUGAUCUUUUCACAGCCUUCAAAAUGAAACUUAUAAUUAAACCUCAGGAUUAGUGUAAGCAAGCUCUGAGAUCUCAGUGCAAGUUCUCUUUAUAGAACACUUAGGAAAAAAAGACAAGAUGAAAAUACAAAAAAUAGUAGAAAGCAUGAGAAGUUGCAUAUGUAAGAAUAGAACUAAGAGACAAUGGUACCAAACCAAUAUAAUAAUUCUUUAUAUUUAUUUUCUAUUAGUUUUGAACUUUCACAUUUAAAGGGUUUAGUAUUACUAGUAUAUAUGGUAGAGCUCAUAUAAAAUCACCAUUCCACAGAUCUCUGUAGGAUGUGACCAGACUAGUUUGCAUCUCUUGAUCUGCCCAGAACUCCAGAGCAGAUACCACUUAGUGGUUUUCUAAGCAGUAUGAAGACAAAAAAGACAGCAGAACUCCAGCUUUAUAGGCCCUAAGGACUGGUAUUUAGUCACUGUCAAACACAAGCCAUAAGUAAAGCCAAAAUGAUACAGAUAACAGCCCCAGACUUCCACAACACUGUUGCCCCAUUUAGUGUUUUCUCCACAAACCAAUGAAAUCAAGCAGGGAUGAAUGAGCACUGCUGCCAUUCAGUUUUGGUUUUUCUCCCCCUUCAACAAAGACAUAAUCUCAGUCUAAACAUGAAGCUAACACUCACAUCUAAUUCUUUAGGAUGGAUAAAUGACAGCUGCCCUCUUUCCAGCUUUCUACUGAGGAUAUAAAUAAAACAUGAUCCAGCUAAGCUGUAUCCUUGAUAAAUUUGCUGAAAAGGUGCUUACCCAUAUCUAUAGUGGAAGCAGAAUGAGAAGCUACACCAUGCAGCAUCUCAUCUUCCUGCACUACAUGAUGCAAGCACUAGAUAUACAGAGCUGUACUUUUAGUCCUUCCUUGUACUUCUUGUCUGGAAAGAUGUUUGGCCAAAAGUUGAGCCUGAGUUGCUUUGUGCACCUUGUGCUGCAGUGAACUGAAUGAAGGUUUCUGGACUUAAGCACAGGUCAGAACUCCAGCACUGGACUGAAGCUUUAACAAGUGCAAAGCAUCCACACUUGAAGACGACACUGCCCUAAGAAAUUUCUCUUCCCAAUGCCUACUGGGAAUGUUCCAGGUUAGCAGUUUUUUAUUAGUUGUGGUAUUUAUAAUCUCAUUCUUCUUUCAGGCAAAAUAACCUACCUUUCACAUCUGAUAAUAAAAUGCAGUUGACA